GUUUUCAGAAAAAAAAUUAUAAGUUUUCGCAGUAAUAAUCAUUUUGUUAACCUUGAUCAGCCAUUUAAGGAAAUGUAUAGCCAGAACCAUUGUUAAUUUAGUAGAAAAUGGCUACAAGCUACCAAUUAACUGAUUUCCUAAGGCCAAAUUGUCUAUAUUAUAAGAGUGAGUUAUGGCGUACCAUCCAUUAGCGCAUGUUUUGCAAUAACUCAAUUUUGUGUACACC
rnacentral:lncRNA from 1 species